rnacentral:rRNA from 1 species
UACGUAGGGCGCAAGCGUUGUCCGGAAUUAUUGGGGCGUAAAGAGCUCGUAGGCGGCUUGUCACGUCGGUUGUGAAAGCCCGGGGCUUAACCCCGGGUCUGCAGUCGAUACUGGGAAGCUCGAGUUCGGUAGAGGGUGACGGAAUUCCCGGUGUAGCGGUGAAAUGCGUAGAGAGUCGGGAGGAAGGCCGGUGGCGAAGGCGGCGCUCUGGAACGUUUCUGACGCUGAGGCUCGAAAGCGUGGGGAGCAAACAGG